rnacentral:rRNA from 1 species
AUACGGAGGGUGCAAGCGUUAAUCGGAAUUACUGGGCGUAAAGGGCGCGUAGGCGGAUUGGUAAGUCGGAUGUGAAAGCCCUGGGCUUAACCUGGGAAUGCCAUUCGAUACUGCCAGACUAGAGUAUGGUAGAGGGAAGCGGAAUUCCGGGUGUAGCGGUGAAAUGCGUAGAGAUCCGGAGGAACACCAGUGGCGAAGGCGGCUUCCUGGACCAAUACUGACGCUGAGGCGCGAAAGCGUGGGGAGCAAACAGGAUUAGAUACCCCAGUAGUCC